CCUACGGGUGGCAGCAGUGGGGAAUAUUGGACAAUGGGCGAAAGCCUGAUCCAGCCAUGCCGCGUGUGUGAAGAAGGCCUUCGGGUUGUAAAGCACUUUCAGUGGGGAAGAAAGCCUUGGGGCUAAUACCCUCGAGGAAGGACAUCACCCACAGAAGAAGCACCGGCUAACUCCGUGCCAGCAGCCGGGGUAAUACGGAGGGUGCGAGCGUUAAUCGGAAUUACUGGGCGUAAAGCGCGCGUAGGCGGUCUGAUAAGCCGGUUGUGAAAGCCCCGGGCUCAACCUGGGAACGGCAUCCGGAACUGUCAGGCUAGAGGGCAGGAGAGGAAGGUAGAAUUCCCGGUGUAGCGGUGAAAUGCGUAGAGAUCGGGAGGAAUACCAGUGGCGAAGGCGGCCUUCUGGACUGACACUGACGCUGAGGUGCGAAAGCGUGGGUAGCAAACAGGAUUAGAUACCCCAGUAGUC
rnacentral:rRNA from 1 species